UCAACAUUGGCGAUUAUGCGAACAAUUUUCUUUUGCAAUAUGAGAACUUUAUUUAUGUUUGUUUUGGUCAUUGUGGCCCAUACUAAACUGCACAUGCACAGUGUACAGAU
rnacentral:lncRNA from 1 species